UCGUCCGUCACACCAUUUGAGUUGAAGAUGGCUUAAGUUGUUAUUCUAACCCGUAAGGGGGGCGCUUUAAGUUGUAUGUUUAGUGAGGGGGGUGAAGUAGCAACAAGGCGAUCGCAUUUUCCGGUAUGGCUGAAUUAGCCUCUUUGUAGAAGAAAGACAAAUUAAGGCUAAUUCUAUUGACGAUUCUUUGUACUUUUAUUUUGAUGAAAAAAUCUUUGAAGUCAGGGUAAAUUUUUAGUUUAAAAUUUAGAAAAAAUAAAUCUUUAGCAGGUGUUUGGCAGUAUUUGGCUUUAUAUUUAAUUAAGCUAUUGUUUGAUAGCAGGUACAAUUUUAGGGUGAAGGGCUUUUAUAUUAUUAAUUAUAGCUUAAAGCAAUAUUGCCAUAUUUAAAACGAUGAAAUACAUUGGGACCAGGAUGAGUUGAACAUCCGACCUCAGGUUUAUCAGACCUGCGCUCUAACCACCUGAGCUAUGAUCC
rnacentral:misc_RNA from 1 species